GUGGGGAAUAUUGGUCAAUGGACGGAAGUCUGAACCAGCCAAGUAGCGUGCAGGAUGACGGCCCUAUGGGUUGUAAACUGCUUUUGUACGGGAAUAAAGUCGGGGACGUGUCCCUGUUUGUAUGUACCGUAAGAAUAAGGACCGGCUAAUUCCGUGCCAGCAGCCGCGGUAAUACGGAAGGUCCGGGCGUUAUCCGGAUUUAUUGGGUUUAAAGGGAGCGCAGGCUGGAGAUUAAGCGUGACGUGAAAUGCCGCGGCUCAACCGUGGAAGUGCGUCGCGAACUGGUUUCCUUGAGUGUAUUCGACGUCAGCGGAAUUCGUGGUGUAGCGGUGAAAUGCUUAGAUAUCACGAAGAACUCCGAUUGCGAAGGCAGCUGGCGAGGCUAUAACUGACGCUAAAGCUCGAAGGUGCGGGUAUCGAACAGG
rnacentral:rRNA from 1 species